rnacentral:rRNA from 1 species
AGCAGUGGGGAAGUUUUCCGUCAAUGGGCGGAAAGACCUGACGGAGCAAUGCCGCGUGGAGGUGGAAGGCCUACGGGUCGUCAACUUCUUUUCUCGGAGAAGAAACAAUGACGGUAUCUGAGGAAUAAGCAUCGGCUAACUCUGUGCCAG